rnacentral:rRNA from 1 species
GCAGUAGCCGCGGGAAUACGAAGGGGGCUAGCGUUGUUCGGAACACUGGGCGUAAAGCGCACGUAGGCGGAUACUUAAGUCAGGGGUGAAAUCCCGGGGCUCAACCUCGGAACUGCCUUUGAUACUGGGUAUCUUGAGUCCGGGAGAGGUUGGUGGAACUCCGAGUGUAGAGGUGAAAUUCGUAGAUAUUCGGAAGAACACCAGUGGCGAAGGCGGCCAACUGGCCCGGUACUGACGCUGAGGUGCGAAAGCGUGGGGAGCAAACAGGAUUAGAUACCCCUGUAGUCCCUGUCUCUUAUACA